GGGGAACCCAACAGACCACCCGGCUGGGCGGCGCCGUGCAGAGGACCGCCCCGACGACCCGGUCCCUCGGGAGCCCCGGUUUGUGCUCCCCUGCGGCUCCGGCUGGUGGGAGGGGGGGAGUGAGGGAGUGAGGGUGAGCGUCCUGGGACAGCUGAGCUGGAGCAGCCGGGGUGCCGGGAAGUCCCGAACUCUGGAAAUCCCAAACUAGGGCCUCGGUUUUAUCAUCUGUUAACUAGGGAAGGAAAAAAAAAAGAAAAAAAAAAAAGAAAAGAAAAAAGUGAGAGGAGGAAGAAAAAGCCUACCUGUGGAUGCCACCUGCCUCUGUCGUCAUCUUCUCUUUCUCUGUCCGUAGAUUAACAAAGUCUGGUGUGAGUGCGUGCUUGUGUGUGUGAGUGCGCGCUCGCGCGCGCUCACAGGUGUAGUGGGUGUGGCGGGUGUGGCUUCUAUGACCCUGCAGAGUCAAAACUUUAGAGAAACUGGGGAUUCCAGAAAAGCCAAGCUCACCUCUAAGGUCUCCCCACUUCUCUCCUUGCAUGACUCCCACCAUGUGACCUUCCCCCUUAAAGCAGGACCAAGAAAGACCUUGGCAACCAUGCGCUUCAACCUUCCACCCCCUUUCCGACCUUUGCAGCACUUUCUGGGUCCUACGGUUGAUGUCCUCACAACUUAGAGAAGUGUGGUCCUAUGAUCCAAAGAAGAGGUCUCCAAGCUCAUCUGAAUUGUCAAGCGGGGAGGAAGCUGUUGGACUUUUCUUGCUGUCCUGGAAUGACAGCCUUCUGUUUUGCUGAGGUAGCCACAGAACAUUCCAUCCUUCGUGUCUCCAAACACAGGACUACCUGGCUACCUAGCGAGCAGUCAGAGAUGUGCCAUGGUUUUCAUGAAUAGAGUGGUAGCUGAGUUGAGUCCUGGACCUCGUGCAGUCUUAGGAAAGGGGUUUUAAAUCUUAGCUCUUUUUAAUAACAAUGAUAGUUAACAGAAAUGUAGUGCUUGACAGUGUUUGAAGUAUCUCAGGUCUCCUAGCUCACUUGAUUCUCACUUAGGAUGUCAUGAAAUAGACAGUACUGAUAUUACUAUGUAGAGAAAAUAGAGAUCAAGGCAGAAAAAUGCU